AGAAAAUGUUAAACCUUAAUGUCUUCCUACGUUAAUUGACCAAGGUCAAAGGAUUUCAGCCUGUCUUUGGAAAUGCAAUCAUGGAGAUGAUCAAAACAAUGGAGAAGAACACAGUAUUUGUCCUCAACAGACUGUCCAUGAAAGGCAAAUAGGACACAGCUUCUCAGCGUCUGCCUGUCAGACUUCUUGGCCGUCUGGCUGGAAAAGUUGUGCAGUUCUCAGGAGUUCCUGCGAGGCUGGCUCCAAAGAUCCCUCACCUCUCCACACAGACACAGGGAGCAGCGAGCAGGCCUCCGGGCACAGACCAGGUUGGACUGGA